CGUGUAGGCGGCCUGGAAAGUCGGAUGUGAAAGCCCGGGGCCCAACCCCGGAACUGCAUUCGAAACUUCCUGGCUAGAGUCUCGGAGAGGAGAGCGGAAUUCCCGGUGUAGAGGUGAAAUUCGUAGAUAUCGGGAGGAACACCAGCGGCGAAGGCGGCUCUCUGGACGAUGACUGACGCUGAGACGCGAAAGCGUGGGGAGCAAACAGGAUUAGAUACCCUGGUAGUCC
rnacentral:rRNA from 1 species